GCUAGGACUUAAAGACUUCACUUACUGGGUUUAAUAAAAAUGGGUCUGAGGCUUACUCAGUUCUUUGACUAGCAGUAGACUUUAAAAAUAUAUUUUAACUGAUACUCUGUUUGAAUGUGUUGGAACAGAUUCUGUCCCAAGUCCAGCCUGUGCAUGCUGCAAAGAAAGAUCAUAAAGGAGAGCAAAGCAGAAAUUAUUUGGCAUAGGAGCAGUCUUGACUCUGUAUAAACAGUGCUGAGCUGCUUCAUUUUCCUAGACUUCUGUAGGCUCCAGCUCAGGUCUGCGGAAGGAGUGGGCACUCAACCCUUGCAGGAUUUCAAGGCUGUCUUAUAGCCUACAUGGAAUGGAGGAAAACAACUCAGCUUCAAAACGGACUGUGGCUAAUGAAAUGGCAGUGAUUGACCUCGUAUGCCAAGGCACACAACCUGAUUGCCCGGGCAUGCCAUCCAGUCCUCACUCUCCUCACCUCAUCAUUGGAUCCCAGAGCAGAAUUCCUGGCUGCUUGUGCUAGAUAAAAUGUGUUGAGGCUUUGCCCGUGUGUCUUAAGUGCUUCUUUUCUGACCGAGCCCAGACGAAGGUUUAUAGUGAGGUGCUGCUGUACUGUCUACUUGAUGUCUUUGUGUCUCCUGUCACUUGGGUGCCUUCCAAUUUGGGUGUUUUGCUACUUGAGCACUUCUCUGUGGAUGCUUCCAGACAAGGCAGCCCUGUCUUGCUAGAAUGCUGCUUUGAAGCUGCCUGCUUUCCUCCCACCCUCAGCUGGGCACGUUUGGGCUGCCAGUGGCCUUGAGGAAGG